rnacentral:rRNA from 1 species
UACGUAGGUGGCGAGCGUUGUCCGGAAUUAUUGGGCGUAAAGGGCGCGUAGGCGGUUAUUUAAGUCAGAUGUGAAAACUCCGGGCUCAACCGGGAGAUUGCAUAUGAUACUGGGUAACUUGAGUGCAGGAGAGGGCAGUGGAAUUCCUAGUGUAGCGGUGAAAUGCGUAGAUAUUAGGAGGAACACCAGUGGCGAAGGCGGCUGUCUGGACUGCAACUGACGCUGAGGCGCGAAAGCGUGGGGAGCAAACAGGAUUAGAUACC